CCAGACUCCUACGGGAGGCAGCAGUGGGGAAUAUUGCACAAUGGGGGGAACCCUGAUGCAGCAAUGCCGCGUGGGUGAAGAAGCACUCCGGUGCGUAAAGCCCUGUCAGCAGGGAAGAAAAUGACAGUACCUGACCAAGAAGCCCCGGCUAACUACGUGCCAGCAGCCGCGGUAAUACGUAGGGGGCAAGCGUUAUCCGGAUUUACUGGGUGUAAAGGGUGCGCAGGUGGCAGGGCAAGUCAGAUGUGAAAGCCCGGGGCUCAACCCCGGUAUUGCAUUUGAAACUGUCCGGCUAGAGUGCAGGAGAGGUAAGCGGAAUUCCUAGUGUAGCGGUGAAAUGCGUAGAUAUUAGGAGGAACACCAGUGGCGAAGGCGGCUUACUGGACUGUAACUGACACUGAGGCACGAAAGCGUGGGGAGCAAACAGGAUUAGAUACCCCAGUA
rnacentral:rRNA from 1 species